rnacentral:tRNA from 1 species
AUUUAAAUAGUUUAAAAAAAAUAUUGAUUUGUGGUGUCAAUGAUAUGAGUUUUCAUUUUAGAUCGUGAAUUAUUUA